rnacentral:rRNA from 1 species
CGCACGGGUGAGUAAUAUAUAGAUAACGUGCCUCUUAGUCUGGGAUAGCCAUUGGAAACGAUGAUUAAUACUGGAUACUCCUUCUAACUCUAAUGUUAGUCGGGAAAGUUUUUCGCUAAGAGAUCGGUCUAUAUCCCAUCAGUUAGUUGGUAGGGUAAUGGCCUACCAAGGCAAUGACGGGUAGCGGGUUUGAGAGGAUGAUCCGCCACACUGGUACUGAGACACGGACCAG